ensembl:lncRNA PWRN1 Prader-Willi region non-protein coding RNA 1
GAAGUCUGUCAGCCUCUUCAGAUGUCACUUGCCCUGUGGUAAGGAAGUGUAGUCAGCACCUGGUGCAGUGGCAAGAAGAGAAAGGAAGUUCCCCAAGACAGAAACAUCUCAGCAGUGAGUUCCUGAUGAGGGAAGGGAAGUGAAUCCUAAGAACAAUCAUGUGAGUUUGGAAGGAGACCCUUCCCCAGCUGAGCCUCAGCCUGAGCCAUCACCUACAUCUAGACCGAAGACCCAGAGAAACCGCAACAUUCGAAACCCAGGUGCCACUCCUUCAGGAAGGUACCAUCAAGCUCCAAGGACUCUUAUCCUCUUUCUCCUUCCCCACUACCUAGUCAUUAGAGCGUCAGCAUCCACUUCUUGAAAGGAAGAUGCCUGUUUUUCACAUAUCCCAGAAAACCCCAUUUUAGGACAGCAUUUAGCAGAGUAUAUUCAGGAUCCCACUAACCUUUUUGGAAGACAUGACUUCCAGAUGAUAUAAGGCAAGAAUAAGAAAUUUCAGUGACAGGGAACAGAAAUCAUAUUUCUGCAUUCAGGAUCAUGUUUUCUUGGCUCCAUCAGGAACUGUGCAGGACUGUGCACUCUGUUGAUACUCACAUGGUGGAAUUAUAUUGCCUUUGGCCAACCCUAAAGCCAUCAAGAUAGCAGGCUUAGUUUUCUAAAGAUAAUUCUGCCUUCAAGCCUUGUUGGAAUUCUGUGAUAAUGUCUUUUCACUCCACGAUCUCCAUCAGGAAUUUUAUGGAACCUUGUAUUCUGUUGAAUACCAGAAUUACAUCAGCAAUCCCCAAGCCCCAAAGUCACCGGAUGGGCAUCAUUAUGACAGCAGGGUCUAUUGUCUACACCAUGGUAAUAGUGACAGUGAGAAAUGAGCUCCUGUGACCUAGAAACUUGGAAGAGACAUUCAGCUUCAUGGAAGUCAUUCCUCAUUCUUAGAUGAGGAUAACUGUUACGUGGUGUUAUUUGAGCAUUUGUAAUUCAAGAAAACUAAC